AUGAUUACAAGGGGAGAGUUUACUAGGAAGAAAAGCCAUAUGCUUCUAAGUAACGCCGAAGGAGCAAGCUACAGCGAAUCUCUCAGGCAAAAAAGACUCUUGUAGGACG
rnacentral:ncRNA from 1 species